ensembl:lncRNA
AUCUUAGACAUGCUUUACUGUAUUAGAUGCUAUAAUUACCAACUCUGAAACAGAUCAUUGUAAUGAAAGAGCUAAUGAGAAGCUGUUGUUGAGCAGUGUAUCUGACAGAGAUAAUUUAUGUAUUUAUGGGAGAAAUCUAAAUCAUUCUGAAAUAAAUAGAAAUCUUCUUUGAGUUAUAUUUGGAAAAUAUUUUUAUAAAACUUAUUGACAGACAAAUAGUGUUCAAGCAGAAAUAAACCAGUAACAACUAACAUCAUUUUGGUGACUUGGUGUGAAUAGGUCAGUGUCUUGAUGGAAGUAGUUUUUGACCUUGCAGUCUUAUUUCUUCUGUUCACUCACUCAAGACUUGUAUUUUAAUGGAACAUGACAAAGAUUUUUAAGUUUUAAAAUAAUAAUCUACUGAAAUUUGGCUUCAUUUUCAUUCUACAUUUGGUUUAGGACAUUUGGAUACAUACAUAUUUUACUAAAAAAUGUGAGAGUAUUAAUAUGAUUAAUAAUGAUGAUUAAUAAAAUUUUUUGCUUGUAAUUGCUAUGGCAUUAAUAGACUCAUUGUAACCUGUCAGGAAAAAUGUUUUCUAUGAAAUACACUGAAUUAAAAAGAUUUUAUACAUACAGUAAAAUUGUUGGCAAUUCUUGUUUUAAAUAGGAAAUAAAGAUUGCAAAGAUUAUAGGAGGAGCUGGGCAGUAGAAAUAUACAAAACAGGUAGGAUGGAGUAAACAACAUGGUAUUUCUGUUUUCAUCCAAUUUAUUUUUCUUCUGAAAGAAGAACUGAACUAUGUGUUGACACUUUACUCUAAAACAGUCAACAUCCUGUUUAUCUACAUUCAUAAAUUCAUACAUUUUAAUUUAGAUUUCUUUAUAAUACAAAUCUUGUAUGCAUAAUUAGUUAUUACACUACAAUUUAGUAACAAAUAAUAUAGCAGGAACUCUUCUUUUUAAUUUACUUUCUUCCACACCCAGGGUGGGUGUGGAGCAGGGGAAUGUGUUGAUAUUACCUUCUACUAGGAUAUGAACACACUUGUGAAGUUCUUUGUCAAGAUAUAGUUCAGAAGACGAAAUAGAGACAAAUAACCUACCCAUUCCAAAGGUCAGCGAAGUCUCCAGAAGGGGCAAUCUCUGAACAGAGAUCUUCCUCUCUUGGCUAUUAACCCUUAAAUGAGAGGGAGGAGAGAUAGACCUUUGGUCCAGGUGCAUUGCUUCUAUGUGUGUGCCCUGAGUUAGCCUUCUCAGCCGUUACUGAAUCUCUGGUUAGGCCAUGACCUACCAAUCCCCAUACAGUAGAACAAUCCUUUUUCUUGCUCAGCUGGCAGUGCUGGGCCUGAUGCACCCCAAUGGAUUGGGUCUGGUUGACAUAUUGGGCCCUCUAUUCCCCUCAGAAGGGAAAUACUUGUGAGAAAAACCCUUCUGUUUUUUCUUGACAGAGGUGGCAGUGACACAGGGACUAGGUUGACUUGCCCUAGGCAACCCCUCCAACCUGGACAGACCAUCUGCAUUAUCGUUUGUCUGUCCAUUACAUUCCAGAGUUUCAUACAACUUUUAUAAAGACAUCUUGGAACGUGAGGUAGGCAGGAGAGGUGAUUUGCCUUUUUCUGAGCAGAAAUCUGCUUCCACUCAACCCUGAAUCUUAGGUUCCCUCCUUCUCCUUUAUGGCAAGAGAGUAGGGAAUAUUUCAUUUCCUGUGUUACAAUUGGCUGAUGCUUCUGUUUCAGGGAUAGUAGAUUGUGAUCCCACCAAUCCAUCUCCUGACAGAAAACCUGGGCACACCUCAAAAACUGAGAUCUCAAUGGAAGCAUGUUCACUUGGGGGCUCUGUCUGGGUAACUCGGUCAGUUCCAGAUGCUGGAAAGGCCACAGGAGAUGCAGAGGACAUAGCUUUCUUUUGGGUGGAUAACAUGACUGGAACUCUUGCAAGUGUGUUAUGUGUUGGAAGUGGUAGAGUGGAGGGGGGUCACUGUUACUCCUGGCUCUGU